rnacentral:rRNA from 1 species
UCCAAGGGAAACAGAGGACAGUGGCGGACGGGUGAGUAACGCGUGAGGAACCUGCCUAUCAGAGGGGAACAACAGUUAGAAAUGACUGCUAAUACCGCAUAUGCCUAAGUAUCACAUGGUACAAUAGGGAAAAGAAGCAAUUCGCUGAUAGAUGGGCUUGCGUCUGAUUAGCUAGUUGGUGGGGUAACGGCCUACCAAGGCGACGAUCAGUAGCCGAACUGAGAGGUUGAACGGCCACAUUGGGACUGAGAUACGGCCCAGACUCC